rnacentral:rRNA from 1 species
CGGGUGAGGAAUACAUCGGAAUCUGCCUUGUUGUGGGGAUAACGUAGGGAAACUUACGCUAAUACCGCAUAAGACCUUAGGGUGAAAGCGGAGGACCUUCGGGCUUCGCGCGACAAGAUGAGCCGAUGUCGGAUUAGCUAGUUGGCGGGUAAAGGCCCACCAAGGCGACGAUCCGUAGCUGGUCUGAGAGGAUGAUCAGCCACACUGGAACUGAGACACGGUCCAG